ACCGGAUUAUUUUUGUCUUCGUAAACGUCUCUCUUCCGUCCGUUUUGUCUGCUGAAUUGUACGAUAUGUUAUUAUUUUUAUUAUUAUUAUUAUUAUUUUGUUAUAUACUUGAAUAAUACGUACGAACGCUUUGUAUCUGUACAUUUGUUAUAUGUUCUAGUGUUUUAAUGUUUUAUUUUGUGGUUGUCGACGUUGCUCUCGUUUGUAUUUUUUUAUUGGGACAUUGAAGGUUUUUACGUAAUUUUAAUCAUGCUCAUGCCAAAAAAAGAUCACACCUUUUUACGUAUUCUUUUGGUUAAAAAAAUAGAAGGGAGAUGAGAUUAAGAUUUUAUUCUUUUUGGGGGCACUUGUAUAUAAGUUUUUUCUAAUUGUAUUAAUUUUACCAAUAACAUGAUAAUUUAAGCGAAAUAAAAUGGACCAGCUUUUGUCGAUUGUUGGCUGGUGCUUAUUAUUUCGAAUAAUUUAAGCAACUAUGUCGCGUGCUUAUUUAACCGUUUUGUAGUUAUAAUAGGGCGAAUAUUUGGCAACAAUAUUUAUUCGAAUUUUUCAAAUAGUUUCGUAACCCGAUGAAUCAAACAAAUCUCGCGUUUCAAUUAAAAGUGAUUAAAUUAUUAAAAAAGCAAUCUCUGGUGGUUCGUUUUUCUCUUAGCUCUUUUAAAUUAAGUCGGGUUCUUUCGAAACACAAUUCAUUAACGUAUUCUGGUGUAUGCGAAGUCUAUAGUAGUCUAAAUUUAGAUCUAAGCUGGUACUAAAAAUACCGAAACGAAAAAGUACAGGAGCAGCGUGGUUUAAGAUCUUAGUACGAUCUCGUCGUUAUUAUAAACAAAGGCCAGGGGAUCGUUGGGGAGUCAUAAUUUUCUCGUUUUUUACUUUAAAAUAGAUCUUUCAAAUUUAAUUUUUUUUUAUUUUGAAAACCCGCCAUAAUUUAAAUUUUUAUUUUUUUUUUGUGACGCCCCCUUGCGUCCGUUUUAAUAAACGUAAAACGCCAACUUCACACGGAUAGUCCUGAAAUCAGUUCACAUGUGUUGGGAUGUCCGAGUUAACAAUAGUGCUAAAAUAGCGUACAUAUUAUGCUGGUUUUCGUGAAAUAGUGCGUUAUUCUCAUUCAAUUCGCGUUCCAGGCUGUUUAUGGUUUUCCGGGAGCCCCUUUCGAUCUAGCUAAAAGAAAUGGCUACCAUUGAUGGUCGACCUGCGCAGUAUGGGAUCACUCUCAAGCAGCUCCGGGACCUCAUGGAGCACCGGGGCCGAGAGGGUGUGACCAAGGUGCAGGAUCUGGGAGGAGUACAAGAAAUUUGUAAGAAGCUUUAUACAUCGCCCAAUGAAGGACUUAGCGGUUCGCAAGUGGAUUGCGACCAUCGAAGAGAAACGUUCGGAUCGAACUGUAUUCCUCCCAAGCCUCCGAAAACGUUCCUGCAGCUGGUAUGGGAGGCGCUGCAGGAUAUUACCCUUAUCAUCCUGGAGGUAGCAGCUAUAGUUUCGUUAGGUCUCUCGUUUUAUAACCCCCCGAGAGAAGAAGACGAACUUCUCGAAGAUGAUGAUUCUAGCCACGGGUGGAUCGAGGGUCUGGCCAUCUUAAUUUCCGUUAUAGUUGUCGUGUUAGUUACCGCUUUUAAUGAUUACACCAAAGAGCGGCAGUUCCGCGGUCUGCAGAGUCGGAUUGAGGGAGAGCACAAGUUCUCCGUCAUACGGCAAAGUGAGGUGAAGCAGAUCGGCGUCAGUGAAAUUGUCGUCGGUGACAUUUGCCAGAUCAAGUAUGGCGAUCUGCUGCCCGCGGACGGUAUCCUUAUCCAGUCGAAUGACUUGAAGAUUGAUGAAUCCUCGUUAACUGGCGAAUCUGAUCAUGUAAAGAAAGGAGAGAAUUUUGAUCCGAUGGUUCUAUCUGGUACGCACGUUAUGGAAGGAUCGGGUAAAAUGUUGGUAACGGCAGUGGGCGUGAACUCGCAGGCAGGUAUUAUUUUUACGUUACUGGGAGCAGCGGUGGAUCAACAAGAGGCGGAAAUGAAGAAGCAAAAGAAAGAACAGAAAAAGCAACGGAAGAAGAAAAGUUUAACAGGAGAUGAAGAAUCCGCUGUUACUGGUAAUAGUCAUAUGAACUCGCCGCCGGUGGCCAAUAAACAUGAUGGAACAGGUGCGGAAGAUGGUAAAGAAAACCAUGUAUCGUCUUCUCAACCGUCGGGAGAUGGACACAAGAAAGAGAAGAGUGUUUUGCAGGCUAAAUUGACUAAGCUCGCCAUUCAAAUUGGUUACGCGGGGUCCACCAUCGCCGUGCUUACCGUUGUUAUCUUGGUUAUACAAUUCUGCGUCAAAACUUUUGUUAUCGACAAGGAGCCGUGGAAAAACUCCUAUGCCAGUAAUCUAGUCCGUCAUCUUAUUAUCGGUGUAACUGUUCUUGUCGUCGCAGUACCUGAAGGGCUGCCACUUGCUGUAACACUAUCAUUGGCAUACAGUGUAAAGAAAAUGAUGAAGGAUAACAAUUUGGUCAGACAUUUGGAUGCGUGUGAAACUAUGGGCAACGCCACUUCCAUCUGUUCGGACAAGACCGGCACGCUAACUACGAAUCGGAUGACUGUAGUGCAGUCCUACAUUUGCGAACAGCUCUGCAAGACGAUGCCGAAAUUCUCGGAUAUUCCUCAACAUGUUGGCAACCUUAUAGUGCAGGGUAUUUCAAUCAAUUCGGCUUACACUUCGAGGAUUAUGCCGGCAGACGAACCUGGAGAGCUUCCAAAGCAAGUUGGCAACAAGACAGAGUGCGCGCUACUGGGCUUCGUGACGGGCCUUGGAAAGAACUAUCAGACAGUGCGUGAUGACCAGCCGGAAGAAACGUUUACACGUGUGUACACGUUCAAUUCAGUUAGGAAGUCGAUGAGCACGGUGGUUCCGAGACCAGGCGGUGGCUACCGACUGUUUACGAAGGGAGCUUCAGAGAUAAUUUUAAACAAGUGUGCCUUCAUCUACGGCCAUGACGGCCGACUCGAAAAGUUCACCAGGGACAUGCAAGAGAGGCUGCUCAAACAAGUCAUUGAGCCAAUGGCUUGCGAGGGUUUGCGUACCAUUUCCAUCGCGUAUAAAGACUUCGUACCAGGCAAGGCGGAAAUUAAUCAAGUUCACGUAGAAGGCGAACCCAAUUGGAACGACGAGGAACACAUCGUAAGCAAUUUGACGUGUCUCUGCGUCGUCGGCAUUGAGGACCCCGUCCGUCCCGAGGUCCCCGAUGCUAUUAGGAAAUGCCAGAAGGCCGGUAUCACCGUCCGCAUGGUCACUGGCGAUAACAUCAACACCGCCCGCUCGAUUUCUACCAAGUGCGGCAUCGUCCGCCCGAAUGAAGAUUUCCUUAUUUUAGAGGGCAAGGAAUUUAAUCGUCGCAUCAGGGAUAGUAACGGCGAUGUUCAACAGCAUUUGCUCGACAAAGUUUGGCCUAAGUUACGGGUACUGGCACGAUCAUCACCCACAGAUAAAUAUACAUUAGUUAAGGGAAUUAUUGACAGUAAAGUUAACGACAACAGAGAAGUCGUCGCCGUAACCGGUGACGGUACUAACGACGGCCCAGCUUUAAAGAAAGCUGAUGUCGGUUUUGCUAUGGGUAUCGCUGGUACCGAUGUAGCAAAGGAAGCUUCCGAUAUUAUUUUAACGGAUGAUAACUUUAGUAGCAUUGUAAAAGCUGUUAUGUGGGGAAGGAACGUGUACGACAGUAUAGCAAAGUUCUUACAGUUCCAACUUACUGUUAAUGUUGUAGCUGUUAUUGUAGCGUUUAUCGGUGCCUGCGCUGUGCAAGACAGCCCUUUGAAGGCUGUACAAAUGUUAUGGGUAAACUUAAUUAUGGACACACUAGCGUCUUUAGCUUUGGCUACGGAACUUCCAACUCCAGAUUUGUUAUUGAGGAAACCCUAUGGCAGAACAAAACCCCUCAUAUCGAGAACUAUGAUGAAAAAUAUCCUUGGACAAGCCGUUUACCAACUAACUGUAAUUUUCUCGCUACUUUUCGUAGGUGAUAAACUUUUGGAUAUUGAAUCCGGACGAGGUAAAGAUUAUCGCGCGGGCCCAACACAACAUUUCACGGUCAUUUUUAAUUCCUUCGUCAUGAUGACGCUUUUCAACGAGUUUAACGCUCGUAAAAUUCACGGUCAGCGCAACGUCUUCGAAGGUAUCUUCACGAAUCGCAUCUUCUGCAGCAUUUGGAUAGGCACAUGUUUAGCACAGGGCGUUAUCAUUCAAUAUGGUAAAAUGGCUUUCUCGACGAAAAGUCUCACUUUGGAACAGUGGCUGUGGUGUUUGUUCUUUGGAGUAGGCACAUUGCUCUGGGGUCAGGUUGUAACAACCGUUCCUACACGGAAGAUUCCCAAAAUCCUAUCUUGGGGCAGAGGACAUCCUGAUGAUUACCCAGAUCCAGUGGCAGGUGAUGAGAAGUUCGACGUGGACUCGGACAAGAAGCCCAGAGCGGGCCAAAUAUUGUGGAUUCGCGGGCUAACCAGACUUCAGACGCAGGAUAAAGUUAAUAAAAAGGUAUCAUCCACGAGUCAACCCGAAACGCCUAAAAAAAGUGAUUCAAAGUCUUCGAAAAUAAAUUUAGAAGAAAUUAGCGUUGUUCCGGAAUCUGUGGAAACACCUCAAUCGUAUGAUAUUGAAAAGGCAGAGAGGAAAUAAGGGGUAAGUUUUGUAGUGUUGUAAAAUAAAUAUAAAAAAAUAGUUUUUACUGUUCAACAUGGUUCUCGUCGAAUUCCAAUACUCAGGUGCUGUAUAUAAUGAAAUAGGGGAUCACAAAGGCUUGUUUCAAGUGCCUUUUGAUACCUUUAUUGCUCGAUAUUCACUUGGGAUACAUAUUCUUCUUUCUGAGAAUUCUUGAAAAUGUUCUAUUUUAUAAUUUUGUUAUUGUUUUCGUUUUUUUAGAGAAGAAUUUAAUGAACUUUAAUUCAACAAUUAUUUUUUUUUUAAUUACGUUUACUACAAUAUUUUAUUGUGAAAAAAAAUUAUUAUAUUUUACGGUGAUUCACCGAUUGUUAUGUAUUAUUAAUCCGUUAUCUUCGAGCUACUUGCGCUUGUCAAUUAUUACGUCCUGUUAAUGGUCUUGUCAUGAAGUGGGGCCCUACGUUCGAAACUUCACGGAGGCGGAUGGUGUGUAUUAUUUUUUUGAUUCGGGGAUAAGGGGAGCGGGAAUUGCAGACACGCGCGAAACGGCGAAGCGCCCCUAUAAAAGAACUCCGCAAACGCACCUCAAGCACACAGAAUCCAACUACGGUUCAAAGUGCAAGAACUUUACUUAAAGUUACAACUACUGAAGAAUAAAGACAUCCCGUACAUCUCAAUAUGAGUCAGUUCAACAGCGCAAUUUUCGCGAUUAUCGCUGCAACUGUCUUCUGCGUUUCAACAUCAGUAUUUUCAUUACCCGUUAUCAACUGCGAGCCAAAUUCAAUGUCCGAAGCACCAACUAACAUCCGGCAGCUUUGCUAUUAUGUUAUGGAAAGUUUGAGAUCAGAACCUUUACAAGAAAACACCAGUGACAUGAUUGCGAAUAGACUCACAGAGCGCGGCAUCAAGAGACAGGAUGUCGAUCACGUGUUCCUGCGUUUCGGGAAACGAUUUGGGCUCUAAAUUUCAUUACUAUCCUAAUCAAUCAACGCUUCGCCUCCAUCCUUUCCUGGACCUUUAUUUUCAUUUUCAGCAUAUCAACGUGAAGAAGAACAUUCUUCGAUUUCAUUUCAAAUGGACUGAAGAUGAUGAUUAUUUUUUUAUAUGAAACGUUUUUGGCCGAAAAACGUGCUAUUUAUUUUUUUUGUUACUAAUCUGUUUAUUUAAUGUUACUGAAGUUAAUUAAAAAUUAUUACUGUAA